UGGGGAAUAUUGCACAAUGGGGGGAAACCCCGUGAUGCAGCGACGCCGCGUGAGCGAUGAAGUAUUUCGGUAUGUAAAGCUCUAUCAGCAGGGAAGAAAAUGACGGUACCUGACUAAGAAGCACCGGCUAAAUACGUGCC
rnacentral:rRNA from 1 species